rnacentral:lncRNA from 1 species
GCGCUCCCUUCAAUCCAUAAUCAAUCACUCAACAUAGUACUAUAGUUUGGACUCAGCACCCGUUCACACGGGGGUUGUUAAGGACAAUUACUUGCAUGGAUUACGGUGGUAAUCAUGUAUUGCGAACCGUCUCGGACGGUCAACCCGCAGUCGUUGGUAUCGAUGGUCCCAUGUCGAUAAUUAACAUGCAUCGUUUUCCUCUGUGUGCUUAAGUUGCUAGGAUGCUUAGGCGCAUGG